UGCAUCAAAGAGAUGAGCAAGAUGCUUAAUUUGCAAUUUUCAUCAUGGUAUGCCUAUAUUAGUUACUCGUCGGCAGCAGCAACAAGGGACGGAAGUGUAAACGUAGCAUUAGUAAGGUUGUGUUCAAGUGACAAAAAAGUUCAAGAUCAAAGAAACAGAUCACGGGUGGAUGUGUUUUUCAAAUAUGGAAUAUUAAUUGGCAAAGAUCAAGCACAACAUACAGAUCAUGGACAAAGGUGUUGUUAGAUCUGGAGCACAAACGUUGCAGGUGGAUGUUGCACACAACCUGGCACUCCAGUAUAAAAAGCACCAGAAGUGCUUUUGUCAGCCUCAAAAGCUACAGAUGUAUGGAGUUUAUCUGCUACUGUGGUGGAUCUUCUUUCCGACGAAGUGAUCUGGAAGGAAUCAAAUGACGCAAAAAAAUGGAAGUACUUUGGAAAAAUACAUCUAUGAGUCGAUGCAAACUAAGAAACAGUCAGACUCACUUAAAAGUCUUGAAAGUAAAGAUCUACCUGUAGAACGAAGGAAGUGUUUCGAAUGGUUUGAACUACAAACAAUCUGCAAAACCAUCUGCAACAAAUAUCUGUCGAAUUUCAGAGAAAGCUUAGAAGACUAGGAGGUUUCUUUGCAGAACUGCUUUUUCAAAGCUAAAGAAUGUUUAACCGAGCGAUCCGACUUUUCUCUUUCCGACAAAUAUCGUUCCGAGAGACUAGCAAUAUUCAGCUUUUAGAAUAUGUCCAAACUGUAGUGAAUUUGGUCUUUUCAAUUCUUAUUAUUGACAUAGUAAUGUUUUGACAUUUUUGGCAUAGG
rnacentral:lncRNA from 1 species